rnacentral:lncRNA from 1 species
ACCUGAAUCAGUCGACAUUGCAAAAGCAAUGCGGUGUCUGCCUUUUUGAUUUUUCUCUAUUUUCGGUAUAACUUUACCAUUUGCAUCUCAAUUUGUAAAAAUAGAGGAAGAAUACCUGGAGUGUUUUUUAUAAUAUGGUUUUAUUUUUCCAAUGGUGUAUAUGAUCAGUAUUUUCAAAUUUGCUCAUUGAUAAAGGUAACUUUUGCAUGAAUGGUGACUUGGCUUAGAACGGCAUAGGCAUGAAUAAAAAACGGUCAUAAUACAAGACACAAAUUCACUGUGGUCACCUCAAGUUUUUCAACAGGGUAUCAAGCUCUGAAUGACCCCGACAAGAUUUAAAAAAAAUAUAUAUCGAACAGUAUAACACAUUAGUUUGUCACAACAUCAACAAACAUACAAAAUAGAA